AUUGAACGCUGGCGGCAUGCCUUACACAUGCAAGUCGAACGGUAACAGGUCUUCGGAUGCUGACGAGUGGCGAACGGGUGAGUAAUACAUCGGAACGUGCCCAGUCGUGGGGGAUAACGAAGCGAAAGCUUUGCUAAUACCGCAUACGAUCUACGGAUGAAAGCGGGGGAUCGCAAGACCUCGCGCGAUUGGAGCGGCCGAUGGCAGAUUAGGUAGUUGGUGGGGUAAAGGCUUACCAAGCCUACGAUCUGUAGCUGGUCUGAGAGGACGACCAGCCACACUGGGACUGAGACACGGCCCAGACUCCUACGGGAGGCAGCAGUGGGGAAUAUUGGACAAUGGGCGAAAGCCUGAUCCAGCCAUGCCGCGUGUGUGAAGAAGGCCUUCGGGUUGUAAAGCACUUUAAGCGAGGAGGAAUGGCUGAGGGUUAAUAACCUUCAGCAGUGACGUUACUCGCAGAAUAAGCACCGGCUAACUCUGUGCCAGCAGCCGCCGUAA
rnacentral:rRNA from 1 species